UACGUAGGGCGCAAGCGUUGUCCGGAAUUAUUGGGCGUAAAGAGCUCGUAGGCGGUCUGUCGCGUCCGUUGUGAAAACUCGAGGCUCAACCUCGGGCUUGCAGUGGAUACGGGCAGACUAGAGUGCGGUAGGGGAGACUGGAAUUCCUGGUGUAGCGGUGGAAUGCGCAGAUAUCAGGAGGAACACCGAUGGCGAAGGCGGGUCUCUGGGCCGUAACUGACGCUGAGGAGCGAAAGCGUGGGGAGCGAACAGG
rnacentral:rRNA from 1 species